rnacentral:rRNA from 1 species
AACAGGAUUAGAUACCCUGGUAGUCCACGCUGUAAACGAUGUCGACUUGGAGGUUGUGCCCUUGAGGCGUGGCUUCCGGAGCUAACGCGUUAAGUCGACCGCCUGGGGAGUACGGCCGCAAGGUUAAAACUCAAAUGAAUUGACGGGGGCCCGCACAAGCGGUGGAGCAUGUGGUUUAAUUCGAUGCAACGCGAAGAACCUUACCUACUCUUGACAUCCAGAGAAUUUGCUAGAGAUAGCUUAGUGCCUUCGGGAACUCUGAGACAGGUGCUGCAUGGCUGUCGUCAGCUCGUGUUGUGAAAUGUUGGGUUAAGUCCCGCAACGAGCGCAACCCUUAUCCUUUGUUGCCAGCGAGUAAUGUCGGGAACUCAAAGGAGACUGCCGGUGAUAAACCGGAGGAAGGUGAGGAUGACGUCAAGUCAUCAUGGCCCUUACGAGUAGGGCUACACACGUGCUACAAUGGCAUAUACAAAGAGAAGCGAACUCGCGAGAGCAAGCGGACCUCAUAAAGUAUGUCGUAGUCCGGAUUGGAGUCUGCAACUCGACUCCAUGAAGUCGGAAUCGCUAGUAAUCGUAGAUCAGAAUGCUACGGUGAAUACGUUCCCGGGCCUUGUACACACCGCCCGUCACACCAUGGGAGUGGGUUGCAAAAGAAGUAGGUAGCUUAACCUUCGGGAGGGCGCUUACCACUUUGUGAUUCAUGACUGGGGUGAAGUCGUAACAAGGUAACC